GCGAACGGAUGAGUAACACGUGGGCAAUCUGCCCUGCACUCUGGGACAAGCCCUGGAAACGGGGUCUAAUACCGGAUACUGACCUUCACGGGCAUCUGUGAAGGUCGAAAGCUCCGGCGGUGCAGGAUGAGCCCGCGGCCUAUCAGCUUGUUGGUGAGGUAAUGGCUCACCAAGGCGACGACGGGUAGCCGGCCUGAGAGGGCGACCGGCCACACUGGGACUGAGACACGGCCCAGACUCCUACGGGAGGCAGCAGUGGGGAAUAUUGCACAAUGGGCGAAAGCCUGAUGCAGCGACGCCGCGUGAGGGAUGACGGCCUUCGGGUUGUAAACCUCUUUCAGCAGGGAAGAAGCGAAAGUGACGGUACCUGCAGAAGAAGCGCCGGCUAACUACGUGCCAGCAGCCGCGGUAAUACGUAGGGCGCAAGCGUUGUCCGGAAUUAUUGGGCGUAAAGAGCUCGUAGGCGGCUUGUCACGUCGGUUGUGAAAGCCCGGGGCUUAACCCCGGGUCUGCAGUCGAUACGGGCAGGCUAGAGUUCGGUAGGGGAGAUCGGAAUUCCUGGUGUAGCGGUGAAAUGCGCAGAUAUCAGGAGGAACACCGGUGGCGAAGGCGGAUCUCUGGCCGAUACUGACGCUGAGGAGCGAAAGCGUGGGGGAGCGAACAGGAUUAG
rnacentral:rRNA from 1 species